UACGUAGGGUGCGAGCGUUGUCCGGAAUUAUUGGGCGUAAAGAGCUCGUAGGCGGUGUGUCACGUCGGCCGUGAAAACCUGCAGCUUAACUGUGGGCGUGCGGUCGAUACGGGCAUCACUGGAGUUCGGCAGGGGAGACUGGAAUUCCUGGCGUAGCGGUGAAAUGCGCAGAUAUCAGGAGGAACACCGGUGGCGAAGGCGGGUCUCUGGGCCGUAACUGACGCUGAGGAGCGAAAGCGUGGGGAGCGAACAGG
rnacentral:rRNA from 1 species